rnacentral:rRNA from 1 species
GAUGAACGCUGGCGGCGUGCCUAAUACAUGCAAGUCGAGCGAACAGACGAGGAGCUUGCUCCUCUGACGUUAGCGGCGGACGGGUGAGUAACACGUGGAUAACCUACCAAUAAGACUGGGAUAACUUCGGGAAACCGGAGCUAAUACCGGAUAAUAUAUUGAACCGCAUGGUUCAAUAGUGAAAGACGGUUUUGCUGUCACUUAUAGAUGGAUCCGCGCCGCAUUAGCUAGUUGGUAAGGUAACGGCUUACCAAGGCGACGAUGCGUAGCCGACCUGAGAGGGUGAUCGGCCACACUGGAACUGAGACACGGUCCAGACCCCUACGGGAGGCAGCAGUAGGGAAUCUUCCGCAAUGGGCGAAAGCCUGACGGAGCAACGCCGCGUGAGUGAUGAAGGUCUUCGGAUCGUAAAACUCUGUUAUUAGGGAAGAACAAAUGUGUAAGUAACUAUGCACGUCUUGACGGUACCUAAUCAGAAAGCCACGGCUAACUACGUG